rnacentral:lncRNA from 1 species
UAAGCUAUAUGCAACUUCAGAUUUGUAAGCCUCAAAACUAGAUCUAAGUACUCUGAAGGAAUAGAAUUUCAACAACACUUAAUCGACAUUCAAACCAAUAGGGAAUUUCAAAGCCAAACAUUCACAACAUCUUGACUUUAAAAUUCGAAAUAAAAUAAUCAUCUAAUCCAUAUAUUAGACAUCAAUUUUAACUAGUUUCAUAAAAACAUUGACAGGCUCACAAACAAAGUCCGGGAAAAUACAUACAAGUCCAUAUAUAAGAUCUCAGUGAAUGCAAAUAGUCAUCAAAACUGAAAAAACUACAUCUAAUCUUUAGCAUCAACUAAACCCAGAUCUAUAACCCCAAGUAUUAUAUUAGUCCAUGUUACAAAACCUUAGCAAAACUACAACAGAUUGUUCUCUCACAGGGAAUCAAAACACACAUGUGAUAAGCAUAACCUAACUAACAUUUGAUACAAAGCAUAGCUACUAGUUGUUGAAACAAUAAGAAAUACAUGGGGGAAUCAACUCUAAGUGCAGCUUUAUUUCAACCAAACUUCAUUCGGAUUACAUGUUCGAUAUUGAAUGAUUACUUAAAGGCUAGAAAGAUAACUGGGAAAAGAGAAGAAACAAAGAAGAAAUGAGAGUCAGUAGGCUCAACAACAACAAUAGCAGAAGCGAGCUUCAGAUUCAAACAACCGAGUAUAUGAAAUCAACCUAGAAACCAGUAGAACAUUAACUCGUUAAGCAAACUUUGCAACCAACUUAAAACCAAGUUCAGUCCACCUUAAACACUCAAAAUGACCAAAGAUUGCUCCAACAAAUUGCUAAUUUGAAAAUCAGAGAAAAGGAAACCAAUGAAAUAGUAAAAUGCAACCAUUUUUUUAAAAAAAAAUUCUGAAAUCCUUAUCUCUUUCAAUCUGCCGUCAAAUGCAAGAAAGCAUGCUUUUAUAGGCAAGGAAGUAGGGCAGCUUUUAGGUUUUAAUUUUUACCUCUUAAUCCCUUUCAAAUUCUAUUUUUUGCUACCGAAUCCUCAGCUAAUUUUCGUUUUUGCUAAACUACCCUUAAUGUAUUUAUAAAAAUAACAUAACAACACCCCACCACAGCUUCUAGGAAGCUUCCUAGUUAGUUAGAAAAAGAUUCCCCUACCCAAUUACCCACAAUUACCCUUCAAUCCUCUGGGAAUUACUUGAGAAAACCCCAUGGAUCACAUUGACCCAAAGAUGUAAACCCAAUUAAACUGGCUAAAUUUGCAGAACUAGUCAGCAACCACAAAAGCCCAAAUACUAAAGAAAACUUAAAUUCUAUAAACCUCUAAAAAGACAAAAUGACCCAAGUGCUGAGAUAAUUUUCGUAAAUAAACCUAAACUAGAUUAUUGGUUAAUUAAUACAAAUACAUGGAAAUAACUAAAUUAUCAAGCAACUAAUUAACUAAUUAAGAUAGUAUCCCGAAUUAAUCAAUACAUGAAUAGAUAUAUUAUGGGAUAGAAUAAUAAUUAAAAAAAUAAGAAAAAGAAAGGAAGCAGAGAAUGGACCAAGAAUCAUUGAAAUAAGGAUUAGGGAGAUACCUUCUACAGUUUCGGACCAAGAAGAACAUGGCACUAAGCUUCAAACGUUCGAAUUUCCGGUCAAAUUUGAGAUUAAUCGCAUGUUCUCAUAGAGAACAAAUGACUAAUCGUCACAUUAAACCUAAAUCAUCCGCAAAAUCUUGAAUUAAAUUUUAGGGUUCAACUUUGGGAUUCAAGAGUCGAGGAGUCCUGUCAAGAUUCGAAGGUAACAGUAUAUGGAUUGAGAAAGGGGAGAUCGUGGGUUCAAGGGGUGUGAUUUUGGUGGUGAUUGGAACCGGCGCCGCCACCCAAGGCGGUGGAACAAGGGGGCGGCUGGUUAGGGUUCACGAUGGUCUGUAUGAGAGAUGGGGGGAACGUUUCGGAUAUAUAUAUAUAUAUAUAAGUCUCCUCUGUUCUCAGCCGUUUCAUCGAGAAACCUUCAUGGCUGAGAUCAUUAUUUAAUUAAACUGGGUCGUUUGAGUUGGGAGGUGAGGGAC